CAACAAAGGUUGAAGCGGUCCACUGGUGCUCCGAUUCAUCGACCCCACCUUCUCAUUACUGAUUGUGGCUGCACUAGAUAGUACAUUCGAUGGUUUGAACAGACCAACAGUGCACCAAAUACUCCUGCGACAUCACAGACUCGAUACUUCCGGUUUCCAGAUUUGAAGAUCAUGGCUAAGGAAAAGCCUAUAGAAGGAGUGAGUAAUCAGAUGAAUGCGAUUGCGUCACAAAAUCUCGAUCAAGCACUUGCUCGCUGGUUUCCAGAUUUGAAGAUCUUUCUUUCUAUUUUCUCUACACCAUCAUCGAUCGCCACUGUCGUCCAUGCCACUAUCGGUUCUUUCCACAGCAGGAGUGGCAGUUGUUGGUGGGGAGACAUGUCAUCUGAAGAACAUGCUUAAGGCUGCAAUGUUUGGUGGAUUUGGAUACAUCGUAACAUGCAAAAUGGUUUCAAUACAGGUGUUGCAGUUGGGCCUUACAUCUCCCUCCCUUACUACCCAAAGGAUGAUGAAUCUCUUGCAACAUGACUGAGAAAAGGAGUUGCUACCCAUGGAAGAAGAAAGGCAAAAGGAGGAAGAGACGCAUGAGAAACUGGAAUAAGAACAGGUAAUUAUCAUAUUUAUAGCUUUUUAUUUGUAGUAAAUUUCCUUCUAAAAAACAAAUUCUUAUCAGUUUUGAAGUUACAUGAAGUCAAUUGUGAAUGUAGCCCGAGAAACUAAAAUUGGAUGUUGAUCGUGUAACUGCAUAACUUGAUGAUGAUCCUAAUAAAUGUUUCUUUCAUUGUUAUAUUUGAUAGAAAUUAAUGAAUUGUUUAUUGCAAUGUAUUUUUACAUAGUGUACUAAAUUAGUAAUGGCAACCGGAAUUUUGAUCUGACUUUGUUUAUUUUGCUGAAAUUAGAAUUGGAAUCGAGAUACUGAGAAGGUUUUGGUUUAUUUUCUGCAACCAUUGUGGGUUAGGUGGUUGUUUUAGGUAUUUACCUCAGUCAAUUGUGAAUUAUCUAGCAUUGUUGGGUUGGAGUGAUGGGACUAAUGAUGAUUUUUUCACCCUUGACCAACUAGGUUAGUUCAUGUAAUGUAAUCUUGUGUUAUAUGCACAUAAUAUGCCCUUUUUCGUCUUCUUAAAUAAAUGUAUUUCUUUUUUCUGUUACAGUUGAAAAUUUCUCAAUUAAUUGUGUCAACAAAUUUGAUUCAACCAAAUUGAGAUAAUGCAAAUAACUCAUUGUAUUAUUAAUUUUCAUCAUUAGCCUUUUAUAACUUUUGUAUUUAAAAAAAAUAAAGAUGGAUGAAUGGCUUGCAUUCAAAAGCUCUUCCCAUGGAAGAGUUGAUAAAGACAGUUGGUGAUCAAUGGAAAAGCUCUGACAUCCCUAAAGAGUCAGAAGGGAUCUUUAUAGAAGAUACUUAUAAGCUUUUAGAAGGUGGGGUUGAUGUGAUUACUGAUGCAGAAAAGUCACUGUAAAUUUGAAGUGGCAGGCAAGUUUCACCAUUCAUAACUAUGGAUGGAUGGAUCUAACAUACAAAUACAAUUGCCAUAUUCCUCACAACCACCUCAAACGAUUAGGCCUACAAAAUGUUGAACUACUUACUUGGUACUGUAAACGGAUGUAAAUUUUUGUCUGUUUCUGGGUUAUAAAUGAUGUAUAAAAGAAAUAUGCUCUUCCUUAUUCCCAUUCCAUGAACAUAUGCUUUUCAAGAUUGUUUUUUUAAUCAGUUUUGAAAGUAUAAAACAUCCAUUGGUGAUGCGGGAGAAAUUGUGAUUAAAAUAGACAUUUCUACA